rnacentral:rRNA from 1 species
UACGUAGGGUGCGAGCGUUGUCCGGAAUUAUUGGGCGUAAAGAGCUCGUAGGCGGUUUGUCGCGUCUGCCGUGAAAGUCCGGGGCUCAACUCCGGAUCUGCGGUGGGUACGGGCAGACUAGAGUGAUGUAGGGGAGACUGGAAUUCCUGGUGUAGCGGUGAAAUGCGCAGAUAUCAGGAGGAACACCGAUGGCGAAGGCAGGUCUCUGGGCAUUAACUGACGCUGAGGAGCGAAAGCAUGGGGAGCGAACGGAUAGAACCGGGUAGACCGAGAC